GGUUGUAGAUAGCACCAGGUGGCUAUUUCAACUCCUUUGUUUGGCGGAACCAGCCAAGUUCAUCAUGGUGGGAGGAAACUGGGCAGGGACUGAACGGAGCCAAGCAUGUGCUGGACUUGAACUCACAGCGACGCUAACAACCUCGGCCCCUGGUGUUUUGAGAUAACCUCUUCUCCGCACAUCCUCAAUCACCUGAUGGAUCAGUGAAAAGCAGUUCCAAGAAAACAUACAAGUUUCUCUGCCAAG